rnacentral:rRNA from 1 species
GACGUAGGGCGCGAGCGUUGUCCGGAUUUAUUGGGCGUAAAGAGCUCGUAGGCGGCUUGUCGCGUCGACUGUGAAAACCCGCGGCUCAACUGCGGGCCUGCAGCCGAUACGUGCAGGCUUGAGUUCGGAAGAGGGUCGUGGAAUUCCCAGUGUAGAGGUGAAAUUCGUAGAUAUUGGGAAGAACACCGGUGGCGAAGGCGGCGACCUGGUCCGAUACUGACGCUGAGGCGCGAAAGCGUGGGGAGCAAACAGG